CUACGGGACGCUCCAGUGAGGAAUAUUGCACAAUGGGGGAACCCUGAUGCAGCAACGCCGCGUGGAGGAUGACGCAUUUCGGUGUGUAAACUCCUUUUAUAUGUCAAGAAAAUGACGGUAGCAUAUGAAUAAGCACCGGCUAACUCCGUGCCAGCAGCCGCGGUAAGACGGAGGGUGCAAGCGUUACUCGGAAUCACUGGGCGUAAAGGACGCGUAGGCGGGUUGGAAAGUCAGGUGUGAAAUCCUACAGCUUAACUGUAGAACUGCACUUGAAACUUCUAAUCUAGAGUAUGGGAGGGGGAGAUGGAAUUAGUGGUGUAGGGGUAAAAUCCGUAGAUAUCACUAGGAAUACCUAAAGCGAAGGCGAUCUCCUGGAACAUUACUGACGCUAAGGCGUGAAAGCGUGGGGAGCAAACAGGAUUAGAUACCCCAGUAGUC
rnacentral:rRNA from 1 species